rnacentral:lncRNA from 1 species
CUGGAGCCCUGGUUGAGAGGACAUAGUCAGGCUUAGAAGCUCCCAGUCACCGGACGUGUAGAGGAGCCUUUCUGUGGACCAAGGGGACUUCAGUAAAACAAGGACAACAAUGCCCAUGCCUCAUGUGAUCAUGAUGAUGAAACAGAGGAUCAGAGAGGUGAUGCGACUUGCCCAAGUGAUAACAGAACAGAUUCACAGGCUGCCUCCUCGGCUCCCAUCAAUUUUUCCCUUCAAGUUGCUCUCACGUCCAGAUUUCAGAAAUAGUCUAUGAAUGGAGAGAUACAGCACAGCCUGUGAAAAGAAAGACUGGACCCAGAAGAUUUAAAUUUAAUUGAACUUAAUUAAAUUUAGAGUUUUGAAAAGAAAUAAGAAAAAUGACUUCUAGAAGAAUAGAAGCCUUUCAGAAAACAGGGGUUGAGCCAA